UAAUAGCGUUGGGACUGAGUUCAGUCUGAUCCUAAAUAGCUUAAUAACAGAGCCAGAGCCUACAAACCGCCUGCAGACUGUGGCCAUUCCUGCACGGAGAGGUUCAGAGCUGGGAGUCUGCCUGGAGCUGAGCCACUGGCACAAGGGCAGAGCAUAAAGACCACGGCAAAAUAAGCUAACUUAUUCAUUGUAUUGUUUAUUCUUAAUCACAUUCAAUUUUGAAUUAACCUAAGGUAUUUUGAGUGGUCUGGAGAAGUGUGUUUUGGUUCCCUUCAGAAGGAGCUAAAGGUUUUAGACCCUGCUCUUGUUAUAUUUAAGGUUCAACUUAUGAAAUAUUAUAAUGUAUAUAUAUAUAUUAUAGUGUAUAUUAUAACAUGUAUAUAAUAUAUAAUAUUAGAUAUUAUCCCUAUGGCAGGGAGGUUGGAGCUAGGUGAUAUUUAAAGGUCUCUUCCAACCCAAACUGUUGUAUGAUUUUCUGAUUCUGUAUUGCAAGAACAUAUUUCAUCAAUUUAAGUGAAACAUUUUCCAUUUGAGAACAUUGGAUCAAAAUGAUUCGGCAUUCCUCCCUCCUUAUUUUUUCUCUGGGAACUGUUGACAGAAUUGAUUUCAUUUCACGUUUCUUCUGCAUCUCCCAGGACUGUGCUGUCCCCAGGGCUCCCCCUUCCCUGUAGGGUUCGCCUUGCCCUGACCACAGCACUCAGCUCCAGGUUGCAAACUGAAAAAACCCUUUCCGACAGCAACCCUCUGCUGUACCCAUGCAGGAAAGGCUUCAACAGAAAUAAAACACUGCAAAUUUUCACAGAGGUGAAGCUAGCAACUUUUGCUAUUUUUGCAGUUGGUUCAUUUUUUUUUGUUGUUGUUCUCCUUUUGUUUCUUUUGCAUAUUUUGUUCUAAUAUCAAAUCUUUCAAGUGCUUGCUUUCCCACCACCCAGGUUUGCCUCAAUAUGUAAAACAACUCCAGUGGCUGCCUGGCACAUCCUUGCCUGUUUUUAGGAAAGACUCCUGUUCCCUGGGACCCAGAUGUGCCUGGACACAAUCUCUCUCCUUUGCUUUAAUAUUCCAGGUGUCAGUCCAUCCUGGGAGCCGCAUCCUGACUCCACUUCCUUGGUGCUGCCAACUCCACUGAUCCUCCGCAAGCUGAGUAUGGAAAGUGUUUGCAAAUGUGGGCACAAAGCAAGGCUUUGGAUGCUGAGGAAGCAAGUGCUAAUGAUCGUGCUUUAGAUUAAUUACAACCUACAAGGACUGCAGGGGUGGGAAUUCAUUAGUUUUUUUGUUGGUGUAGGUUUUUGUGUCUCUUCUAGUGUUGGCAAGGAUCAUGCUUUCUGCUGUCUUUCAGGUAUCCUGACCUGGAAACAUUCCUCAGGGUUUGCUUUUUAUUUUAUUUUUAUUUAUUUAUUUUGUUUGUUUGUUUGUUUGAAUUUCCUAAAUGUACCCAAGAAACAACUAAAAUGAAAGCGAAUGUGUGCAAUUCUGAAAGAGCUUCAGUGCAAGAGACUGACACCUCACAUCACUGCAGCUAAGGAGAAAUAUCCCCAGCCCCAAAGGGUGACCUGCUGCCACCCAUCCCUGGAAGAGAAACCCAGGGAUGUCUUUUGUGGGGUUGUGCAUCCACAGGCUCUGUUCUCCCUACACUCAUGAGGGAUUUCUGGCAAAAAUGUCUGGCAAAACUGAUUUCUAGAGGAGCAGGCUAUAGGAGGCCCCCAGGGCUGUCUGCACACCCAGAAGACGGCGGUACAGCAUCCCUGAGGAGCAGCUCCUGCAGUCUCUCUGCCUCAGCUGGCCAACCUCACUGCUUCCCGCAACCAGCCUAACCAAAUCCUGCAGCCCCCUUGCAGAGCAAGAAGACCCUUACCAGAUACAUCACUACUCUUCACGUCACGAAUACUGCAGAUUUUUCAGCUUUGUCAGGACCAAAGUUUUCUACAGGAAAACUUUUAGGAGGAAGUCCAGUGUUAUUGCCACCAGAACAUUGCUGAUAAGUAACAGCAAGUGCCAGCAUCACGCAGGGAGCGGCACUGAAAAAUUCAUGGGCUGGCUGCGAACGCUGCAAUGUCUGGGGACGCCUCAGCAGAGGAUCUGCUGCUUGGCACACCUGUAAGGUGAGCACAGCUAACAGCCCCUCUUUUCCUGCUGAGUAUUUAGGACUUAGAAACUUCAGAUUUCUAUGGGAGAGAUUUUAAGACGUGUAUGCUGGAUGUUUGUGUUUACUUUCCUGACAGCUAAGUGGAGUUGUUUAAAAUUCUAUAUGCUUCAGUCCAUUCAUCAGCAUGGGCUAUAAAAUCCCUGCACAAAAACCUAAACCACCGUUUUGGGCCAGCUUUCAGGGUAGGGUCAUUUCUAGGCUAGGCAACAAUGGAAAGGGAAGCGGCAGGGUGGAAACAAAAGGACUGAAGAAAGAUGAACAAGUGCUAGAAGAGAGAAGAACGUGCUGUAUAAACCAAGGGGGAAAACCUGGUAGGAGCUCCUGAAAGGGGUUAUGCUGUUACAUGGAGAGGAGCUGGGUUAUCCUGUCAUGUGGAGAGGAUGUAUUUGAAGAAGUGAUCAGGUACAGGACAGUGCUGUAGACAGCAGGGUUGCCCCAAAGCCGGGGGGAGAUGUGGGGGCACGUCAGCAGGAGCGGUACAAGGCAGAGAUGCUCGGGCUGGGGGGGCAGAGGCUGGUGUCAGGGAAGGGUGCAAACCUCAUGGCACACUGGGAGGAUGUGGGGAUCCCCAGGGCUGGGUGCAUGUUGAGGAGCAAACUGCCAAAAAAAGGCCAUCUGGAGCAUCAGCGGCACGGCCUCUCCCGGGUGCCAUCUUCCCGGGUGCCACGCACUGUGAGCGGCACUGCUACCUGGGGAGGAACGGCCAGAUGCUACAGCUGAUGCUUUCUCAUUUUACUUUUGAUGGCCGUGGCGUUCCCAAUUUAGUGAAUUGCUUUCUAACGAUUCCCCUGGUGACCGGUGGCAAAACUCCCGCUGACUGCAAGAGGGACAGGGCUGGGCAUUUAAUAACAGCAUUGCUUUUGUGUGCGCUGCAAAGCCCCCAGGAGCCCGAGCGACAGGCCCAGGGCUCAUUAGGAUGGUGCAAAGAUAAAGCAAAAAGACAGUCCCUGCCCGGGAAGCUUGUGCCUGUAUCGAUCUGCAACAGUGAGAAAAGUACAUCUCCUACCAAACCUGGCAACGGCGCUGCACGCGUCCUUUACCAAGGGGGCAUGUUCUGACCGCAGCUAAACCCAGCUCCGUCAGACGCGUUAUUAUUCACAGAGUGUUUUGCAAUAAUUGGCACAUCCAAGUAACGAGGAUGUGAGGUCACUGAUCAAAGCCCGCUGAGGGCCAAGAGCCCAUUCUGCUGCCCUGGGCGUACCCCUGCAUGCAGUCAGAGGUAACGGUGCUCUGACUUCUGGGUCAGUUUUCAGAGUCAAUUAUUAGACAAAGAUUCGAUGUCAGGCUUUGUUUGUGCUCCCCGACAGGGAGGCGCCCCAAAUCACUGUCUAUUGGUGUCCUGGAAAAAGGCUGCAUAGGCUUAAAAUCUGCUGUGGCCACUCCUUCUGGUUGUUGUUUUCUGUAUUUUAUCUUCAGGCUGUUUAUACUGAUUUUAGUUAAAUUAAAGGGCUUUCCUAAAAUGCUUCACUGAUAUUGUCAGAAGGGACUUCCCAGACAUGCCAAAUACACUGGGUGGGUUGUAUUACAUCUAGCAAAAUGCUCCAGAGAUAUUUUUUCUGUAUUAGGUAAUUAAUGUGAAGAGAAACAAAACAUACAGCGUUCUCUUGGGUACAAUGGGGACUUUUAGCUCUGAAAUUUGAAAGGAGGCCCAUAGGUACCCUGUAGAAUUUACAUAUUUCUCCCAAUACUGGUAAUAAAAUGACAGCACAUCAGAAAACAUUAAGGGAAUCUGGUUUUUGCUCUCUCCCCUGCUUUUUUUUUUCCCCUUGUUUACCGUCCUGUCUGUUUGCAUCGGCUGCCGCUCAGCGCUCUGCGCUGUGACACCUCUGGGGAAGCGCCGCAGCGGGCUCUGCCGCUCAGCCCGCAGGGCUGCGGGCACUGGCCCUCCUCCCGCUUUCCUUCUCCUCCGAAAGCAGGAGGUAGGCGGCUGAGGGAGCUGAGCAGGAGGAGUUAAAGCUUCUUUGCACGUGUUUGUAGUCACCGUGGCUCCCGUUCCUUUGAUUUUGCAGGGAGCAGCCUGAAAAGAGCAAAAUCCAGACUCCUGCUCCUACCCACGCUCUGGAAGCCUCCUAGAAUCAGGCAUUUUUUUCACUGAUUUCAGUAGGGUUUUGAACUGGGGCUCAGUUCUGCUAACUCCAUCUCUUUACACUUAUCUGGAGUCUAGGUUAGCUCAGUAUCUGUGGAGCAGGCUGAGAGCCCGCAUGCUGCCCUGUGAGUAGCACAAGAUGCACACACGGGUUGGUGCCUUCAUCUGAGCAAGGGCUGCCUGAACAGGAACCAAAGUUUUCCCUUUCACCUCCCUUAGGUGAACAGGAAGGGUUGCCCCCAUCAUGGCCCUGCCAAAGUCUGGUGGCUAAAAAUCCUGGUGGCUGAUACAGGGACAGCAGGUUGCAAAAGUGUUGUAGAGGGCAAAAAUGGUAAGGAGAGCAUCAUGUCUCCUGUAAAUGGGAUGUGAAUACCUCUGUGUCUCAGUUAGACAAUGAUUUCGUCCUUAUUACACAUACAUAUGACCUCAUUUAUUUUUGAUUUAGGUACAUAACCUUUCAGCAAUCUCUAAAACAACUGUAUUCAUUUUAAUUGAAGCAGUAGUUUGCUUCCUAGAAGUGAAAGCAGGGGAAUCCUAUCUGUGCAGAAUAUAGAGGGUGAGCUCUCCUCCGAGGGUGGAGUGCCUGGAUCCUGAUUUUGCAGAAGACAUAAAGGGUUGGGCCAACUGGCUUUUAAAGCUUGCACAUAGCCACUUUUGAAAACAGCUUUUAGGAUCAUCAGUCACAAGUACACUUACAAACAAUUUACCCAUCUCUUGUCUUACUGAGCAGCUGUAGACUGUUUUUCCCAGUUCUAUCUUUUCUCUAAAUAAAGAAGGCAUAAUACACUUUUAUCAAGAUGCUACUUAAUUCAUCUUUCCUUUGCAGUCCCUUUUACUAAUGAUGUUUCUUUCCUAAAGCUGACUUGGCAUCAAUUUCACAUUAGUUCCAAGGCUUUACAUGAAGGAUAAAUGCAGCCGUGCUCAUAUUCUGCUAGUCUGCCAUCGCCCAAGCACUGAAAUCAUGUCACCCAAGCACUACAGCUGAUCUAAAUUGACAAGAGUAAAGAUGAAAAAAGAUCCAGGUUUUCUGUGCCCUGCUUAUCCUGCAAGGAUACUGAGUUUGUAAAGCUGCUUUUUGUUCCUGGCAUGACUGUCACUCUGGGUCCCUGCUCCAGGGCUGGGAAUCCACGGCGAGGCUGGGCACCGGUACGGUGCUGGUCCCCACUGAGGUGCUGCUGUCCCUUAUCAGAGCUGCUGGGCGUUGAACUGUCUGACGCCUCUUCAAUUACUCUCGAGGCUUGGAAAACAAGUCCAUAAAUCUCUUCCUGCGGCAAUUUAAACCCCUAUGUCCCCUCAAGGUUGGUUCAUUUCCUAACGGCAUAUUUGCUUAGUUAACUGGGCGCCUGUGCAGCAAGUCAGGCCAUGAGCGUGCACUCCUGAGACCUGAUGGGGCAACACCGGAAUCAGAUGGAUAAAUCCCACACUUGGCUGAACAAAAUGAAGUUCAGCACUUUGUCCAUCUGCAUAAAGGUUUGCAUCAGUAUUUUGUCUUACUUUCUAUCACGAUCGUACCUCGCCGCAGCUGGUCUCAGCUGCAAGCUGAUGGCUGAGUCUGCUGCUGCAGUGAGCUGCAUGGGGAGGUCUCCCCAGAGAGCUUCCUGCAGGAGAGAAGCCCUGAGGUGUGAUUCUGCCUUGGUGCUUUCAUUAUUCAUUAACCAGUGCUUUCGUGCUCAGGAGCAUACAUCACCCAGGAUGAGUUAUCCUCUGCACAGGAGUUUCAGUGCUUACAGCUCUAGCUGGCAGAAGGAUUUAAAAACCAUCAGUUAAUACUGCUUUAACAGAAGCACAGCUGCAGUCUGUAGGAUAUAACUGUGGAUUUAUUUCACUACCUAUUACCAAUGAUUACAAAGAUCUCAAAAGAAUUACUAAUCCGCAGGAUUUCAAUUGCACCCUGUGAGUGUCAACUGCAGGUUUGCUACUACAGCGCAUUUAAUUCUUCCAGCAAAUGAUGUAGCUACUCUAAUUGUGGGAACGGCUCAGGCUUUCCCCGCACAGCUUUUCAAAGGCUGUGAACAACACGUAAGUGGCUCACGUUGGGUGUGGAAGUGACACGCUGGUGCUGCCCGCGAGGCGGCUGAGAGCCUGCCAGCCGGGCGCUGCUCCUGCCGCUUGCCUCCCGUGCGUCCCUCUGCCAUCGGCUGCUUUCUGCUCCUUGCAGAUCUCCAGCAAGGCAAUCCGAAAUUCAGAUUUUAAAUAUCCCACCGCUUGUUUUUAUGGAAGCUCACACAAUGAAAUUAAAUUCUUCCCAGUGUAAUAGGGCCCCUGAGACUGGAUGGUCAUUUCUUUGAGCCUCUUCACUAUGGUGGGCUAAUUUAGAGGAAAUACAUUCAGAAUAUGACUUUUUCUCUCCUAUUCAACAAAUAAAUCAAUUAAAUCAUCUUCUCACCCUAAUUUCCUACAGAAACAGGCCUUUCAAUGACUCUGCUUUUGUGGAUAUAGACUGGUCUGUCUUUCUGUCUGUAUGCACUUCUUCAAUAACUUUGAAUUUAGUUAAUUUUUCCAGAGCUGAUAGAAAAGCAGAGGUUUCACAGGUAACAGAGCUCCCACAGCUUCCAUGCGAGCAGGUGGGAGCUCUCUGCAACUGCUUCUGCUUGUUGUCAGACACCAGAGCUCAGGCAGGGAUGACAGCCCAUAUAAAUGUCCUGCUUCCAGAAACUCAAUUAAGAGACAAGAAGACUGAAACGUUCCCCAAGCAUCUUGUGUCAGAGUACUGAUGGAUUGAUGGGGGGGCUGGCCUCUGUAAAAUGGCCUUAUAUUAUUAAACUUCUGAAUGAAAUGGGCCCCUUAGCAGAGCUUCUCUUACAAUGAGUCCAUGAAGCCAUCCCUUCUGCUGCAGGGCAGGAUGGGUUGUGUUAGUGUCUGGGCUUCUCCAGUGUUGAGGCUGGAGACCUUUAUUUCCUGCUCCUUUAUACCCACAGUCCUUCACAUAGAAGAGUAUCACCAAGUCUGGUAGAGGUGGAAAAAGAUAAUCAGUCCCAAACAGAAAAUUGUAAUGGUGCUUGAGAGUUCUUUCCCACUUCCAGUUUUUAGGGAUUUGGUGAUUGGUUGUUCUGGCCAACAUUGUCAUAAAAAGCACAAAUGGCUGUGAAAUUUGGACAUGUAUCAAAGCCUGGGAAUCCAAAAUAUUCUUCCCAAUAGUUUUGCUGUUGUUAAGAUCAUGGAUCAGGGUUCUCUUCAGUGCCUACAAUACUUAAUAACUAAUACCAGCCACAGACUGGGUAAUUUUUUCCCAUAAACUUAAUAGGUGUCAUAUCUCAGUGACAGCUUAUUAAAUUCUUGGUGAGGAUUGAAGUUGCUAUCAAGAACUCUUGUAGUCCACAGUGUAUUGAGGGGUCUUUAAAUCCCCAAAGUACCAGAAACAAAGUUUUGCUAGGAAAUGUAACAGUACUUUUUUUUUUUUAUUUAUAACAAUGGACUUUGAAACUCAGAUUUGGGAAAAAUUAAAAGUAGCUGGGCUGGAAGCUGUUGAAGCAGUGGUCAGCUUUAAAAGCAAAAUCUUACUUGUACUUAAAUACAGAAGUAGCACACCUCUCCCCAAGUAUUGGUGGAAUACCCAGCUCCAUGCCCUGUCAUGUAAAACAAUGCAAAAGAAAAAAGGAAAUGCUUGUAUUAAAUUCACUAACAACCACUCUACAGUAUCCACACAAGGUCAGAACUCCUUGAAGCUCUUCUCAAAGACUUCAUGGAGGAUGCCUUGAAAAAAUACAUAGACAAAUGUGGCGACUGGUCCUCACUCAGUAAAGGCACCCACAGGCUAUUUUCCACACCAGGAUGUGAUGUGGAAGGGUGAUUUUUUUCUUUGCCUGAGAACGGGGAUACAGUCCCUUAAAUCCUUUGGAGGGGAAGAUGGAAUAUUUAACUUGUACUUCUGUAUCCACUAGAGAGAGAUAAAUAAACUGCAAUCACUGCCUAACAGGUACUAAAAUAUUGAGAAGCACUUCUGGAUACCUCUUGAGAGUAAGAUAUAACAUCCCACCGAGAUGCUGUAAGUAUUAUGCCUUUCUUUGAAUGAUUACUGAUAUGUUUAAAUGAUGCUUUUAGAAAUACAAAUAUUAUAAUGCAUUUUUCUCCUUAUAAUAAUAACUUCAUUCUGCAUUCAGAGCCAGGACUUCAGGAUCUGGGUUAAUGAUAAGGAAGAGGCAAAUUUUCUGAAGUGUUGCUGAUGCUGUAAGAUUUUUUUUUCCCACUGGUUGCAGCAUACUUAGUUGGCAUUUAAAAACUGCAAAUUGUUUCUGACUCGGCUUUGCUCUGUGUUCAAGGGCUUCUUCUACAAAGGUUAACACUUCUCAACCUCACUAAGUGUUCAGAUACCUAUAAUCAGAAUGUGACGUACUCAGAUAAUAUGAUAAGGGGGGGAACUGUAGUGCCUAAUCAAGAUUAAGCUUUGUUUGGGGGUUUGGGAUCUCAAGUACACAGAGUUUUCAACAGUAAAUCAAAGCAGUGAUCACAAUUUAUGCUGACAUGCCACCUUUUCCUUGAUCUUUCCCAAAUAAUCCCUCAGUAAUGCUGCCUGUAUUGUUGCAGAAGUGUUAGAUGGGGUUAUACAUUUUGAUCACUGAGAGCAAUCCUUAAUGCUGGAGGAUGCAAGCUUGACUAAACUUUUUUUUUCCUAAUGUUGGAUGCAUUACAUGAUCUCAUCAUUGCUGGUCAUACUAUCAGCCAUUUCUUCCAAACAUCCAUUUCCCGUGGUUAGUAUUUGUCAGUGACAACAUUCCCCGAUGCCCUGGAAGUGUUUGCACAAAUCAGCACUGGAAGAUAGAGUGCUUAAAUGUCUGAAGAUAUUUGUCAAGGCUGUACUUUUAUUCCCCACCCCCCCAAUCCUGAAAA